rnacentral:rRNA from 1 species
AUUGAACGCUGGCGGCAGGCCUAACACAUGCAAGUCGAACGAGUGGCGGACGGGUGAGUAAUGUCUGGGAAACUGCCUGAUGGAGGGGGAUAACUACUGGAAACGGUAGCUAAUACCGCAUACCAUCGGAUGUGCCCAGAUGGGAUUAGCUAGUAGGUGGGGUAACGGCUCACCUAGGCGACGAUCCCUAGCUGGUUUGAGAGGAUGACCAGCCAAAAUGGAACGGAGACACGGGCCAGACUCCUCCGGGGGGCAGCAGUGGGGAAUAUUGCACAAUGGGCGAAAGUCUGACGGAGCAACGCCGCGUGAGGUAUGGAGGCCUUCGGGUUGGAAAGUCUUUUGAUCGGGACGACGGUACCGGAAUAGAAAGCCACGGCUAACUCCGUGCCAGCAGCCGCGGUAAUAC